rnacentral:rRNA from 1 species
GGGACGUGGGUUGGAGGGGGCGGGGGGAUACGGUGGGGUCGGGGGUUGGGCGGAUGUAUUGGGGGUUAAGUGCUCGUAGGUGGGUGUUCGCGUCGGAAGUGUAAUCGUGGGGCUUAACCCUGAGUGUGCUUUCGAUACGGGUUGACUUGAGGAAGGUAGGGGAGAAUGGAAUUCCUGGUGGAGCGGUGGAAUGCGCAGAUAUCAGGAGGAACACCAGUGGCGAAGGCGGUUCUCUGGGCCUUUCCUGACGCUGAGGAGCGAAAGCGUGGGGAGCGAACAGGAUUAGAUACCCGGGUAGUC